rnacentral:tRNA from 1 species
GGUGGGGUGUCGGAGCGGUUACGAGUUCGCCUGCAGAGCGAAUCUACGUGGGUUCGAGUGCCGUCGUGGACCA